UGGGGAAUAUUGGACAAUGGGCGAAAGCCUGACCCAGCAACGCCGCGUGAAGGAUGAAGUAUUUCGGUAUGUAAACUUCGAAAGAAUAGGAAGAAUAAAUGACGGUACUAUUUAUAAGGUCCGGCUAACUACGUGCCAGCAGCCGCGGUAAUACGUAGGGACCAAGCGUUGUUCGGAUUUACUGGGCGUAAAGGGCGCGUAGGCGGCAAUUCAAGUCAUCUGUGAAAUCUCCGGGCUUAACUCGGAACGGUCAGAUGAUACUGCUUUGCUAGAGUGCAGAAGGGGCAAUCGGAAUUCUUGGUGUAGCGGUGAAAUGCGUAGAUAUCAAGAGGAACACCUGAGGUGAAGACGGGUUGCUGGGCUGACACUGACGCUGAGGCGCGAAAGCCAGGGGAGCAAACGGGGAUUAGAUACCCCCGUAGUCCCUGAGCGGGCUGGCAAGGCGCAU
rnacentral:rRNA from 1 species